rnacentral:piRNA from 1 species
UUUUAUUUGCCAUCCAUAGGCAGGGGGUGU